rnacentral:rRNA from 1 species
AGCGAACGCUGGCGGCAGGCCUAACACAUGCAAGUCGAACGAACCUUUCGGGGUUAGUGGCGGACGGGUGAGUAACACGUGGGAACGUGCCUUUAGGUUCGGAAUAACUCAGGGAAACUUGUGCUAAUACCGAAUGUGCCCUUCGGGGGAAAGAUUUAUCGCCUUUAGAGCGGCCCGCGUCUGAUUAGCUAGUUGGUUGAGGUAAUGGCUCACCAAGGCGACGAUCAGUAGCUGGUCUGAGAGGAUGAUCAGCCACAUUGGGACUGAGACACGGCCCAAACCCCGCGGGAAGGCGGCAGUGGGAAAUCUUGCGAAGGGGGGGAAGGCUUGACGCGCCCAUCCCGGGUAAAUAAGGAGGGUUUUGGGUUUGAAAAAUUUUUCCCCGGGGGAAGAUAAGGACGGGACCCGGAAAAGAAGCCCGGGCUAAUUUCGUG